rnacentral:rRNA from 1 species
UACGUAGGGUGCAAGCGUUGUCCGGAAUUAUUGGGCGUAAAGAGCUCGUAGGCGGUCUGUUACGUCGGCUGUGAAAACCUGGGGCUCAACCCCGGGCCUGCAACCGAUACGGGCAGACUAGAAUUCGGUAGGGGAGACUGGAAUUCCCGGUGUAGUGGUGGAAUGCGUAGAUAUCGGGAGGAACACCAGUCGGCGGAAGGCGGAGCUCGUCUGGACCGGUUCGUCGACGCUCAGGCGCGGAAAGCGG